rnacentral:siRNA from 1 species
AGAGUUAAGGAUUGCCACAUCCUU